rnacentral:rRNA from 1 species
AGAUUGAACGCUGGCGGCAUGCCUUACACAUGCAAGUCGAACGGUAGAGUAGCAAUACUCGAGAGUGGCGAACGGGUGAGUAAUAUAUCGGAACGUGCCCAAUCGUGGGGGGAUAACGUAGAGAAAUUUACGCUAAUACCGCAUACGAUCUACGGAUGAAAGCGGGGGAUCGCAAGACCUCGCGCGAUUGGAGCGGCCGAUGGCAGAUUAGGUAGUUGGUGGGGUAAAAGGCUCACCAAAGCCGUCGAUCUGUAGCUGGUCUGAGAGGACGACCAGCCACACUGGGACUGAGACACGGCCCAGACUCCUACGGGAGGCAGCAGUGGGGAAUUUUGGACAAUGGGCGCAAAGCCUGAUCCAGCCAUUCCGCGUGCAGGAUGAAAGGCCCUCGGGUUGUAAAACUGCUUUUUGUACGGAACGAAAAAGCCUUCUUCUAAUACAGAGGUCAUGACGUACCGUAAGAAUAAAGCACCGGCUAACUACGUGCCAGCAGCCG